CAGUAAUAGUGCAGUCUUUCUAGAAAAAGAGUUCUUUGGGAAAGAAACGAAUUCCUGAAUGAUUGAACUUGAUGAAGUUCGAUCGGUAGAAGAAUCGAUACAAUCUAGUAAACCCAUAGAGUCAGACUUGAUUAGAUCAAAUCUAAAAUCUAUUGUAGAAACAUCUUUAAGAAGAUCUGGUAGAGUACCGUAUCAACUGGAUAGAUACUAUGAUUUCUUGAUCCG
rnacentral:lncRNA from 1 species